CUCCUUCUCCCUCUCCACCACCGCCUUAUGAGUACAAGUCGCCACCACCUCCUUCUCCAUCUCCUCCACCGCCAUAUGAAUACAAGUCGCCACCACCUCCUUCACCAUCACCUCCACCACCAUACUACUACUCUUCCCCACCACCUCCGAAGAAGUCACCUCCACCACCAUACUACUACUCCUCUCCACCACCACCCGAGAAGUCACCUCCUCCACCAUACUACUACUCCUCUCCUCCACCCCCGGAGAAGUCACCUCCACCACCUUACUACUACUCUUCUCCACCACCCCCCAAGAAGUCACCUCCACCUCCAUACUACUAUAGUUCUCCACCACCACCCGAGAAGUCACCUCCACCACCUUACUACUAUUCUUCUCCUCCACCACCCGAGAAGUCACCUCCACCACCAUACUACUACUACUCUCCUCCACCACCCAAGAAGUCACCUCCACCUCCAUACUACUACAGUUCUCCACCACCACCAGUUAAGUAUCCUCCUCCACCAUACUACUACCCUUCUCCACCACCACCCAAGGAAUCACCUCCUCCACCAUACUACUACUCCUCACCACCACCACCCAAGAAGUCACCCCCACCCCCAUACUACUACUCCUCUCCUCCACCACCAGUUAAAUAUCCUCCUCCACCAUACUACUACUCUUCCCCACCACCACCAGUUAAGUACCCUCCUCCACCAUAUUACUACACUUCUCCUCCACCACCUACUCCUUACUAUCCUC
rnacentral:lncRNA from 1 species